rnacentral:ncRNA from 1 species
GGGUGCGGGGCCGCUUGUUUUUCUUUGCGGUGCCGCAGGUUCAUGCGAUGGUCGGGCCGCCACG